UUUGCAUACUCUGCAAAAGCUCCAAAAGUCUUAGCUCCUAACAUUCCAUGGUCAUCACAUAGUGAAAAUAAUCCUCUUUUACAAUAUUCACAUUCAUUACAA
rnacentral:antisense_RNA from 1 species